rnacentral:rRNA from 1 species
GAGCGGUAGCACAGAGAGCUUGCUCUCGGGUGACGAGCGGCGGACGGGUGAGUAAUGUCUGGGAAACUGCCUGAUGGAGGGGGAUAACUACUGGAAACGGUAGCUAAUACCGCAUAACGUCGCAAGACCAAAGUGGGGGACCUUCGGGCCUCAUGCCAUCAGAUGUGCCCAGAUGGGAUUAGCUAGUAGGUGGGGUAACGGCUCACCUAGGCGACGAUCCCUAGCUGGUCUGAGAGGAUGACCAGCCACACUGGAACUGAGACACGUUCCAGUCUCCUACGGGAGGCAGCAGUGGGGAAUAUUGCACAAUGGGCGCAAGCCUGAUGCAGCCAUGCCGCGUGUGUGAAGAAGGCCUUCGGGUUGUAAAGCACUUUCAGCGGGGAGGAAGGCGUUAAGGUUAAUAACCUUGGCGAUUGACGUUACCCGCAGAAGAAGCACCGGCUAACUCCGUGCCAGCAGCCGCGGUAAUACGGAGGGUGCAAGCGUUAAUCGGAAUUACUGGGCGUAAAGCGCACGCAGGCGGUCUGUCAAGUCGGAUGUGAAAUCCCGGGGCUCAACCUGGGAACUGCAUUCGAAACUGCCAGGCUAGAGUCUUGUAGAGGGGGGUAGAAUUCCAGGUGUAGCGGUGAAAUGCGUAGAGAUCUGGAGGAAUACCGGUGGCGAAGGCGGCCCCCUGGACAAAGACUGACGCUCAGGUGCGAAAGCGUGGGGAGCAAACAGGUUUAGAUACCCUGGUAGUCCACGCCGUAAACGAUGUCGAAUUGGAGGUUGUGGCCUUGAGGCGUGGCUUCCGGAGCUAACGCGUUAAAUCGACCGCCUGGGGAGUACGGCCGCAAGGUUAAAACUCAAAUGAAUUGACGGGGGCCCGCACAAGCGGUGGAGCAUGUGGUUUAAUUCGAUGCAACGCGAAGAACCUUACCUGGUCUUGACAUCCACAGAACUUUCCAGAGAUGGAUUGGUGCCU